UACGUAGGGUGCAAGCGUUGUCCGGAAUUAUUGGGCGUAAAGAGCUCGUAGGCGGUCUGUCGCGUCGGCUGUGAAAUCCCGAGGCUCAACCUCGGGUCUGCAGUCGAUACGGGCAAACUAGAGUAUUGCAGGGGAGACUGGAAUUCCUGGUGUAGCGGUGAAAUGCGCAGAUAUCAGGAGGAACACCGGUGGCGAAGGCGGGCCUCUGGGCAAUAACUGACGCUGAGGAGCGAAAGCGUGGGGAGCGAACAGG
rnacentral:rRNA from 1 species